rnacentral:rRNA from 1 species
CCUACGGGAGGCUGCAGUGAGGAAUAUUGGUCAAUGGGCGCGAGCCUGAACCAGCCAAGUAGCGUGAAGGAUGACUGCCCUACGGGUUGUAAACUUCUUUUAUAAAGGAAUAAAGUGAGGCCCGUGUGCCUUGUUGUAUGUACUUUAUAAAUAAGGAUCGGCUAACUCCGGGCCAGCAGCCCCGGUAAUACGGAGGAUCCGGGCGUUAUCCGGAUUUAUUGGGUUUAAAGGGAGCGUAGAUGGGUUUUUAAGUCAGUUGGGAAAGUUUGCGGCUUAACCGUAAAAUUGCAAUUGAUACUGGCAGUCUUGAGUACAGUUGAGGUAUGCGGAAUGCGUGGUGUAGCGGUGAAAUGCUUAGAUAUCACGAAGAACCCCGAUUGCGAAGGCAGCAUACCAAACUGCCACUGACAUUGAGGCUCGAAAGUGUGGGUAUCAAACAGGAUUAGAUACCCGAGUAGUC